AGGCCUUUCGGGGUACACGAGCGGCGAACGGGUGAGUAACACGUGGGUGAUCUGCCCUGCACUCUGGGAUAAGCUUGGGAAACUGGGUCUAAUACCGGAUAUGACCACAGCAUGCAUGUGUUGUGGUGGAAAGAUUUAUCGGUGCAGGAUGGGCCCGCGGCCUAUCAGCUUGUUGGUGGGGUAAUGGCCUACCAAGGCGACGACGGGUAGCCGACCUGAGAGGGUGACCGGCCACACUGGGACUGAGACACGGCCCAGACUCCUACGGGAGGCAGCAGUGGGGAAUAUUGCACAAUGGGCGGAAGCCUGAUGCAGCGACGCCGCGUGAGGGAUGAAGGCCUUCGGGUUGUAAACCUCUUUCAGCAGGGACGAAGCGUGAGUGACGGUACCUGCAGAAGAAGCACCGGCUAACUACGUGCCAGCAGCCGCGGUAAUACGUAGGGUGCGAGCGUUGUCCGGAAUUACUGGGCGUAAAGAGUUCGUAGGCGGUUUGUCGCGUCGUUUGUGAAAACCCGGGGCUCAACUUCGGGCUUGCAGGCGAUACGGGCAGACUUGAGUGUUUCAGGGGAGACUGGAAUUCCUGGUGUAGCGGUGAAAUGCGCAGAUAUCAGGAGGAACACCGGUGGCGAAGGCGGGUCUCUGGGUAAC
rnacentral:rRNA from 1 species